GUCUACAGCCAUGCCACCCUGAACAAGCCCAAUCCCAUCUGAUCUUGGAAGCUAAGCAGGGUUGGGCCUGGUUAGUACAUGGAUGGGAGACCACUUAGGAAUACCAGGCACUGUAGGCA
rnacentral:rRNA from 1 species